GGAAGUGCCGGCCUGGAGCCCGCUCUAGGUGGGUGUCCCUUCGGCUCUUCCCAGCUGCCGUUUGCACCAGCUAUGGACUGCUACACGGCGAACUGGAACCCACUCGGGGACUCUGCUUUUUACCGGAAAUAUGAGCUGUACAGCAUGGACUGGGACCUGAAGGAGGAACUCAGAGAUUGCCUGGUGGCUGCUGCACCCUAUGGGGGCCCCAUUGCACUGCUGAGGAACCCCUGGCGGAAGGAGAAAGCUGCCAGUGUGAGGCCAGUGCUCGAUAUAUACUCUGCUUCCGGCAUGCCCCUGGCCAGCCUGCUGUGGAAGAGUGGACCCGUGGUGUCCCUGGGCUGGUCAGCUGAGGAGGAGCUGCUCUGUGUGCAGGAAGAUGGUGCUGUACUGGUUUACGGGCUUCAUGGUGACUUCCGGAGACAUUUCAGCAUGGGCAAUGAAGUGCUCCAGAACCGCGUUCUGGAUGCCCGGAUCUUUCAUACUGAGUUUGGUUCUGGAGUGGCCAUCCUCACAGGGGCCCACCGCUUCACCCUCAGUGCCAAUGUGGGUGACCUCAAACUCCGCCGGAUGCCAGAGGUGCCAGGUCUGCAAAGUGCACCCUCCUGCUGGACUGCGCUGUGCCAGGACCGAGUGGCACACGUUCUUCUGGCUGUGGGGCCUGAUCUUUAUCUUUUGGACCAUGCAGCCUGCUCCGCAGUGACGCCCCCUGGCCUGGCCCCAGGAGUAAGCAGCUUCCUACAGAUGGCUGUCUCCUUCACCUACCGACACCUGGCACUCUUCACGGACACAGGCUACAUCUGGAUGGGAACGGCAUCACUCAAGGAGAAGCUAUGUGAGUUCAACUGCAACAUCCGGGCACCUCCAAAGCAGAUGGUCUGGUGCAGCCGUCCUCGUAGCAAGGAGAGGGCCGUGGUGGUGGCCUGGGAGAGGCGGCUGAUGGUGGUGGGCGAUGCAUCUGAGAGCAUCCAGUUUGUGCUGGACGAGGACUCCUACCUGGUGCCUGAGCUUGAUGGGGUCCGCAUCUUCUCCCGCAGCACCCACGAGUUCCUGCAUGAGGUUCCAGCGGCCAGCGAGGAGAUCUUCAAAAUUGCCUCAAUGGCCCCCGGGGCGCUGCUCCUGGAGGCUCAGAAGGAGUAUGAGAAAGAGAGCCAGAAGGCGGACGAGUACCUGCGGGAGAUCCAGGAGCUGGGCCAGCUGACCCAGGCUGUGCAGCAGUGCAUUGAGGCUGCAGGACAUGAGCACCAGCCAGACAUGCAGAAGAGUCUGCUCAGGGCUGCUUCCUUCGGAAAGUGUUUCCUGGACAGAUUUCCACCCAACAGCUUCGUGCACAUGUGUCAGGACCUGCGUGUGCUCAAUGCUGUUCGGGACUAUCACAUUGGGAUCCCACUCACCUAUAGCCAAUACAAGCAACUCACCAUCCAGGUGCUGCUGGACAGGCUUGUGUUGCGGAGGCUUUACCCCCUGGCCAUCCAGAUAUGCGAGUACUUGCGCCUUCCUGAAGUACAGGGCGUCAGCAGGAUCCUGGCCCACUGGGCCUGCUACAAGGUUCAACAGAAGGAUGUCUCAGAUGAGGAUGUGGCUCGAGCCAUUAACCAGAAGCUGGGGGACACGCCUGGUGUCUCUUACUCCGACAUUGCUGCACGAGCCUAUGGCUGUGGCCGCACAGAGCUGGCCAUCAAGCUGCUGGAGUAUGAGCCACGCUCAGGGGAGCAGGUACCCCUUCUCCUAAAGAUGAAGAGGAGCAAACUGGCACUAAGCAAGGCCAUUGAGAGCGGGGACACUGAUCUGGUGUUCACGGUGUUGCUGCACCUGAAGAAUGAGCUGAACCGAGGAGAUUUUUUCAUGACCCUUCGAAAUCAGCCCAUGGCCCUGAGUUUGUACCGACAGUUCUGUAAGCAUCAGGAGCUAGAGACGCUGAAGGACCUUUACAAUCAGGAUGACAAUCACCAGGAAUUGGGCAGCUUCCACAUCCGAGCCAGCUAUGCUGCAGAAGAGCGUAUUGAGGGGCGAGUAGCAGCUCUGCAAACAGCCGCCGAUGCCUUCUACAAGGCCAAGAAUGAGUUUGCAGCCAAGGCUACAGAGGAUCAAAUGCGACUCCUACGGCUGCAGCGGCGCCUAGAAGACGAGCUGGGGGGCCAGUUCCUAGACCUGUCUCUACAUGACACGGUUACCACCCUCAUUCUUGGCGGUCACAACAAGCGUGCAGAGCAGCUGGCACGUGACUUCCGCAUCCCUGACAAGAGGCUCUGGUGGCUGAAGCUGACUGCCCUGGCAGAUUUGGAGGACUGGGAAGAGCUAGAGAAGUUUUCCAAGAGCAAGAAAUCACCCAUUGGCUACCUGCCUUUUGUGGAGAUCUGCAUGAAACAACACAACAAAUAUGAAGCCAAGAAGUAUGCUUCCCGUGUGGGUCCCGAGCAGAAGGUCAAGGCUUUGCUUCUUGUUGGCGAUGUGGCUCAGGCUGCAGAUGUGGCCAUCGAACACCGGAAUGAGGCUGAGCUGAGCCUCGUAUUGUCCCACUGCACGGGAGCCACAGAUGGGGCCACAGCUGACAAGAUUCAACGGGCCAGGGCACAAGCCCAGAAGAAUGUCUGAGGCAUCAACUGGAAGACUAAAAGGUUGACAGCUAGGGGCUGAAAUCAUGUGAAAGCUCGCUAACUCACAUGCCUGCCAAUGAACACGCGUCUUACAGCCAAGGCCAGGCCGGGAGCGAGGCUGCAGCGAGUGCGGUGCUGACAGAGGCGCGCGCGCGCGAUCGCGCUCGGACCCCGGCUGCUGCCGCCAUCACCGCCGCCCGCCUAGUCUCCCCUCAGCCGCUUCCCCUCGCCAUGGAGGCGAGGCCGCCGCCGCCGCCGCGGGGCUCGGAGCCGCGGGCCGGGCGGCGGCCCUGAGGGCGAGUGGCGGCCCGAAACGCCGCCGCGGAGCCGAGGCGGAGCCGCUCUCCUCGUCCCCAGCGGUCCCGCCCAACGCCAGACUCUGUGA